rnacentral:rRNA from 1 species
GUGGGGAAUAUUGGACAAUGGGCGAAAGCCUGAUCCAGCCAUGCCGCGUGUGUGAAGAAGGUCUUCGGAUUGUAAAGCACUUUAAGUUGGGAGGAAGGGCAGUAAGUUAAUACCUUGCUGUUUUGACGUUACCGACAGAAUAAGCACCGGCUAACUUCGUGCCAGCAGCCGCGGUAAUACGAAGGGUGCAAGCGUUAAUCGAAAUUACUGGGCGUAAAUCGCGCGUAGGUGGUUUUGUAAGUUGGAGGUGAAAUCCCCGGGCUCAACCUGGGAACUGCCUCCAAAACUGCAUGACUAGAGUACGGUAGAGGGUAGUGGAAUUUCAUGUGUAGCGGUGAAAUGCGUAGAUAUAGGAAGGAACACCAGUGGCGAAGGCGACUACCUGGACUGAUACUGACACUGAGGUGCGAAAGCGUGGGGAGCAAACAGGAUUAGAUACCCUAGUAGUCC